GUUGGACCUUCCUCCUUCAGAGCAAGUCAGGAUUGCCAGAUUCAUAGAAUUUGUAACUAGUCAACUUUAUUAUGGAUUGUUCUAGGAUUUAUGAUAAAUGAAACAUUAAACAUUAUCAUCAUCCAAAGUCAGUGAGUUUUUAUUCCACAUGCGGGAGAUGGGACACUUUUAAUAAAUCCUGCAAGACCUCAUUUCCACGGUCUUAGAGAUGGGACAAUUCUAAUUCUUGGAACACUGACGUAAUAGCAUCAAAAAUUAAAGUGCUUGCUGUAGAAAUAUUGAUAUGUAUGUAUGUUGAAAGGUGAUGGGAAAUGAAAGGUUAUGAGAAAUGUUCUGUAAACCAUCAUGUCUUCUAGAGUAAACCCAACUAAGGCUUGUCUCUCCUAAAGUAGUUAAAAACCUCUCUUGGGAAACACUGGUGUGCUGUUGUUCCAUGAGCUGCAUUCUGAUGUUCUAGUAUUAGCCAUUGAUCGUUCAGUCCAAGAAAUAUAUAUGUAAUGUAUUUUUGGUUGACAUUCAUUUUAAGCAGUUGCAAGUUUCCUACUUCAGCCCUCACAGGCCAAAUUUUAUACCCCAUUUUUGCAUGAUAGGCAUAGUUCUUCUACAUCCUUGAGUAGUGAAUGCAUUAAAUUCUAUUGUUUGUGCCUCACAGAAAUUACUAAUCAUGACAGGUAACAAGGAGC
rnacentral:misc_RNA from 1 species